rnacentral:rRNA from 1 species
AUGGCAGCUCUCAGCCACCUGCUUGAUAACAAGGCCCAGGGUGUUGGGUUCGUUGCCAUGGACGACGCUCACAGGGGCAAGUGGUAUGCCGUGUUCAUUGGUGAGGUUCCAGAGGUUUAUAGUUCAUGGGAAGAAGCCAAUGCACAAGUGGCAUCGUAUAGCAGGAGCAACUAUAGAGUGUUCAAGACUAAGCAGGCAGCAGAACAAGCUUACUUCGCCUGGGUGCGAAAGCACGGAGGCAGCGGUGUCGACAGUGCCAAGGUUGGAGCUGUCAAAGUGGAAGCUGCUAAGGUGGAUCGUCAGUUCGGCCUAAAGCUGAAGAACUUCAUCAUCUUCGCCCAGUUCGUCACCAUUGCUGUGUUGUAG